CGAAAGCGAGUCUGAAUAGGGCGCCAUAGUUAGUGGAGGUAGACGCGAAACCCGGUGAUCUACCCAUGACCAGGAUGAAGUUGCAGUAACAUGCAAUGGAGGUCCGAACCAGUUGACGUUGAAAAGUCUUUGGAUGAGUUGUGGGUAGGGGUGAAAGGCCAAUCAAACUGGGAAAUAGCUCGUACUCCCCGAAAUGUUUUUAGGAACAGCCUC
rnacentral:rRNA from 1 species